rnacentral:miRNA from 1 species
UUUCCAGGGGAGAUGGCAUGGUCUCAGUGGGUCCCGAGUUGGCCGAGGAGUUCUACACCAUGACUGUCACUAUCCCCCAG